rnacentral:rRNA from 1 species
UACGAAGGGGGCUAGCGUUGUUCGGAAUCACUGGGCGUAAAGGGUGUGUAGGCGGUCUACUAAGUCUGGUGUGAAAUCUCCCGGCUCAACUGGGAGGGUGCGCCGGAAACUGGAAGGCUAGAGUGCGGGAUGGGAGAGUGGAAUUCCUGGUGUAGCGGUGAAAUGCGUAGAUAUCAGGAGGAACACCUGUGGUGUAGACGGCUCUCUGGACCGCAACUGACGCUGAGACACGAAAGCGUGGGUAGCAAACAGG